CCUACGGGAGGCAGCAGUGGGGAAUAUUGCACAAUGGGGGAAACCCUGAUGCAGCGACGCCGCGUGGGUGACGAAGUAUUUCGGUAUGUAAAGCCCUAUCAGCAGGGAAGAAGAUGACAGUACCUGACUAAGAAGCCCCGGCUAACUACGUGCCAGCAGCCGCGGUAAUACGUAGGGGGCAAGCGUUAUCCGGAAUUACUGGGUGUAAAGGGAGCGUAGACGGCUGUGCAAGUCUGGAGUGAAAGGCGGGGGCCCAACCCCCGGACUGCUCUGGAAACUGUAUGGCUGGAGUGCAGGAGAGGUAA
rnacentral:rRNA from 1 species